rnacentral:lncRNA from 1 species
CUGCUAGUAACAAUGUGUUAUUUCCCAAUGAAGCAGACUUGGAAAUCUGUUUUUCUGACCCACAGCAUUGGUGAGUCCAGAGCAUCUUGGCUGUUACAACAUGAAGGGAUCUGGCAGCUUAGCCGAGGUGGACCCCAGGUCUCCUGAUUUUUUUCCCAGUGCUUUGUCCAUGGCAGCAUGCCACCUCCUCUAAUGACAAUGACUCUUCACCUUAUGGUAUACAAGCAGGGAUUUGUGGUUUAUAGUUUUUCCAUAAAUAGGAUCUCUGAUUCUCUUAAUCUCCUGAAGGGUAGGCAGGAAAGGUACUGUUAUUCCCAUAGGUUAUCUGAGUGAACAGGCUCAUAAAUGUUGAAUAUUUUCCCAACAGCACACUGCUGGUUAAUGGAGAACUGUACCUGGAACGCAGUUUGUUGACUCUGGAAUGUCUAGUGCUUGCCUCGUGCCAUCACUGUGCCCCCGGGCUUCUGGGGACUCCAGUUUUCUAUGUUGAUGUGCCAGAAGUCCACUUCUUGGGAGGUAAAGUCAAGGUAUCUUAUCCAAGACGGCCCAACCCACACUUGGCUAAGUGACUACCAGAGAGAACCUCGGAAAGUAGAGUGAUGGUGGACUCCCCAGCAUUGAACCCUUGCCCCAGAUGCCAGGGCUUGAGUUUGAACUCUGUCAUCUCAGACCUUACUUUGAAGCUCUAAGCAGGAAUGAAAGGCGUAUGUUCAACAUCAUUUUGGACCCAUUUUCUGUGGCGGGAAACCAAGGUCCUGCACUAGGCAUUGCAGAUAUGAAGAUGAACUGGAUACAGAGCCCGAUUUCAGGGAGUCACAAGAGUGUGUGCUUAGUGCUGUGAGAGAGAACUUCCCCCUAGACAAAGGACAUCUAGACCAGCCUGGAGGGAGCAGACCCUGUUAAUAUCUCUGAGCUCAUUGCUUUUCUGGAAGAACAUGUUCCGAGUUCCAAUUUGGGAUGAUUCAAAACCUACGUCUGCCCCAGGCUUGAGGCGCCUGGGAUGGGUCACACCCUUUGCCUCCUCUCUCUGGAUGGCAUUUCUAAGUCACACCAGGUGAGCAGUUGCUUUUCCACAUCACCGGGCCAAGUUGUAUUUUCUCAAUUGUUGUCCUGCUGGACCACAGUGGCAUACCAGGUCCUAUUAACAAAGUGGAGAAAGCAGAGAUGUAAAAGUUGCACUGGCUUUUUAAGACUGCCGAACUAACUGCUUCAGGGGGGACCUUGUUUCCAGCCAUGAACUUAUGAACUGAGGAUUUUAUGAAAUCCAAUCCUCAUUGUUAUUAUAGCAUAAUCCUCUUUCAGUUAUCCACCCAAUUUCUCUGUAACAGUUUUACUUCUUCCUUCCUUUUCCUGUCAGGGGCUCUGGGCAUUGAGGCUUGGGAUACCCAUCUCCUGAGCCCUUCUUCCUGGGAAGAUGCCAGGGGCCAAAGCCAGGUGGACGCCAGCUCAGCCUCUACACUCUCAGUCCCAACUGGGUGUGAUCACUGCAGAGCUCCUCUGGGGUGGAGAGAAAGAAGAAAUAAAAGAGCCCUUCUUUAUAUAAAAUUGGAUUUU